rnacentral:rRNA from 1 species
GACGAACGCUGGCGGCGUGCCUAAUACAUGCAAGUAGAACGCUGAAGAGAGGAGCUUGCUCUUCUUGGAUGAGUUGCGAACGGGUGAGUAACGCGUAGGUAACCUGCCUUGUAGCGGGGGAUAACUAUCGGAAACGAUAGCUAAUACCGCAUAACAAUGGAUGACACAUGUCAUUAUUUGAAAGGGGCAAUUGCUCCACUACAAGAUGGACCUGCGUUGUAUUAGCUAGUAGGUGAGGUAAUGGCUCACCUAGGCGACGAUACAUAGCCGACCUGAGAGGGUGAUCGGCCACACUGGGACUGAGACACGGCCCAGACUCCUACGGGAGGCAGCAGUAGGGAAUCUUCGGCAAUGGGGGCAACCCUGACCGAGCAACGCCGCGUGAGUGAAGAAGGUUUUCGGAUCGUAAAGCUCUGUUGUAAGUCAAGAACGGGUGUGAGAGUGGAAAGUUCACACUGUGACGGUAGCUUACCAGAAAGGGACGGCUAACUACGUG